rnacentral:tRNA from 1 species
CCCGUUGUAGCUCAAUGGCUAGAGCGGCCGCCUGUAGAGCGGCAGGUUGGGUGUUCGACUCACCCCAACGGGA